CAAGGAAUAGUUUAAGUAGAACAUCAGCUUUGGGUGCUGAUAGUGAAGCUGUUGCUUCUUCCUUGA
rnacentral:tRNA from 1 species